UGGAUUUAAGCUCCAUAUAUAAAAUUUAUUAUUUUUGUUAGAAUUAAUUA
rnacentral:tRNA from 1 species